rnacentral:rRNA from 1 species
AAUCAACGCUGGCGGCGUGCCUAACACAUGCAAGUCGCGCGCGAAAGGGGGGGCAACUCCCGAGUAAAGCGGCGAACGGGUGAGUAACACGUGGGUAAUCUACCUUCGAGUGGGGAACAACACCGGGAAACUGGUGCUAAUUCCGCAUGACAUCGUCGGGGCUUCGGUUCUGACGCUCAAAGCUGGGGAUCGCAAGACCUAGCGCUUGAAGAUGAGCCCGCGUCCGAUUAGCAGUUGGCGGGGUAAUGGCCCACCAAGGCUUCGAUCGGUAGCCGGCCUGAGAGGGCGGACGGCCACACUGGAACUGAGACACGGUCCAGACUCC